UGCCUCUUGUAAACCCAUAAGAGGUAACUCCUGCCCAGUGAAUAAUCUUUCAACGGCCGCGGUAUCCUAACCGUGCAAAGGUAGCAUAAUCAUUUGUCUAUUAAUUGUAGACUCGAAUGAAAGGAUAAACGAAAUAAGAACUGUCUCUGCUGGCUUUUCUAUAAAUUAUAAUUUAGAUGAAGAUAUCUAGAUUUAAAUGAAGGACAAGAAGACCCUAUAGAGCUUUAUCAAAAAAAGAAGCAAUUCUCUUUUUAAGAUUCGGUUGGGGCGACCAAGGGAAGACUAUCACCCUUAUCAUAAAGAUAUAUUUAUCUCCAACAUGACCCUCAUUCAAGAUCAUAAAAACAAGCUACCUUAGGGAUAACAGGCUAAUCUUAUUAAAGAGUCCUUAUCUAUAAUAAGGGUUGGCACCUCGAUGUUGGCUUAGGGUAUCUAUGUGGCGCAAAAGUCAUAAAAAGAUGGUUUGUUCAACCUUCAAAUCCCU
rnacentral:rRNA from 1 species